GGAACUCGCACCACAUCUGACUACAAUCAACAGGAUGUCCCCUGGAUCUGAGGCACGUACUAUAUUAUAUUUAAUAUUUUUAUUUUUUUUUAUUUAUAUAUAUAUUUAUAUAUAUAUAAAUCCACAACUGUUUUAUCUCUACAGAGAGAGAGAUUUUUUUUUUUUCUGUUUUUUAUAGUAAGGCUUUCUCGAACUGAAAACAAGUACAUGAAAUCAUACGAAACCAACAGAGAAACACCCAACAGAACACCACUGUGGCCUACAAACCGUCACUGCAGUCUGUGUCUAAGCUAAUGUGCCCGGUAUAAGGCCAUUACUCAUUGGAGAAGCGUCUUUAAGCUUGGGAAAUAGCCCCAAGGAACCUGCAGAAGACGCUGGAAGCCACGUGUGCAGCUUUCCAAGAGACUUAAACAAAAGAAAGAAAAAGGGGAAAAACUCCUUGGGCAUUCUGCGCUCCUUCCAGAAGGCAAAUCGCUGUGCUGUUCCCAUGGCCUUUGCUUGAGAGCCCGGGCCAACCCAAAGCUGGAGGACAGAAGGCUGCUGCUGCCUGCUGGGGACAUCCUGCUACCCAAAGAUCAGCCUUGCUCCCAACAUCCUGAUCCACGAUCCCAGAAGAAUGAGGCACACCUGCCUGAGGCUUUUAUUUCUCAUGUACCUUUCAUAUCCAGGGGCUGAGUGCACAACAGUUUCAAGCAGAGAUCUGCAAGCUGUGGUUAAUGGACAACAUGUAAUUAACAAAGAACUUGCAGGAGGCCUGAGGACACAUGAGAACUAUUUUCUAAGUACCUCAGAAAAAUUUGCAAGCGUG
ensembl:lncRNA